rnacentral:rRNA from 1 species
UACGUAGGGUGCGAGCGUUGUCCGGAAUUAUUGGGCGUAAAGAGCUCGUAGGCGGCCUGUUGCGUCUGCUGUGAAAGCCCGGGGCUUAACCCCGGGUCUGCAGUGGAUACGGGCAGGCUAGAGUUCGGCAGGGGAGACCGGAAUUCCUGGUGUAGCGGUGAAAUGCGCAGAUAUCAGGAGGAACACCGGUGGCGAAGGCGGGUCUCUGGGCCGAUACUGACGCUGAGGAGCGAAAGCGUGGGGAGCGAACAGG